GACGAACGCUGGCGGCGUGCUUAACACAUGCAAGUCGAACGGAAAGGCCCUGCUUUUGCGGGGUGCUCGAUUGGCGAACGGGUGAGUAACACGUGAGUAACAUGCACUUGACUGUGGGAUAACUCCAGGAAACUGGGGCGAAUACCGGAUAGGAGCUCCUGCAGCACGGGGGGGGUUGGAAAGUGUCGGCGGUUGGGGAUGGAAUAGAGGGUUAUGAGCUUGUUGGUGGGGUAGGUGCGUACAAAGGCUUUGAAGGGUAGCCGGCCUGAGAGAGUGACGGGCCUCAUUGGUCCUGAGGUACGCCGCAGACUCGUACGUGACGCAGCGGUCGGGAGUAUUGCGCAGUGGGCGGGCGCCUGUUGCAGCAACGCCGCGUGCGGAAUGACGUCCUUCGAGUUGUGAACCGCUUUCGCCUGUGACGAGGCGUGAGUGACGGUAAUGGGUAAAGAAGCACCGGCUAACUACGUG
rnacentral:rRNA from 1 species